UACGUAGGUCGCAAGCGUUGUCCGGAUUUACUGGGCGUAAAGAGCGCGCAGGCGGCUGGUCAAGUCCGAUGUGAAAUCUCCCGGCUCAACUGGGAAACUGCAUCGGAAACUGAUCGGCUUGAAGAUGGGAGAGGGUAGUGGAAUUCCCGGUGUAGUGGUGAAAUGCGUAGAUAUCGGGAGGAACACCAGUGGCGAAGGCGGCUUUCUGGGCCUUACCUGACGCUGAGACGCGAAAGCGUGGGGAGCGAACCGG
rnacentral:rRNA from 1 species